CCGGCACGGUGAGUAACACGUAUCCAACCUGCCGUCUACUCUUGGACAGCCUUCUGAAAGGAAGAUUAAUACAAGAUGGCAUCAUGAGUCCGCAUGUUCACAUGAUUAAAGGUAUUCCGGUAGACGAUGGGGAUGCGUUCCAUUAGAUAGUAGGCGGGGUAACGGCCCACCUAGUCUUCGAUGGAUAGGGGUUCUGAGAGGAAAGUCCCCCACAUUGGAACUGAGACACGGUCCAA
rnacentral:rRNA from 1 species